rnacentral:rRNA from 1 species
CAAAGAUUUAUCGGUAAAGGAUGGGGAUGCGUCCGAUUAGCUUGUUGGCGGGGUAACGGCCCACCAAGGCAUCGAUCGGUAGGGGUUCUGAGAGGAAGGUCCCCCACACUGGAACUGAGACACGGUCCAGACUCCUACGGGAGGCAGCAGUGAGGAAUAUUGGUCAAUGGCCGUAAGGCUGAACCAGCCAAGUAGCGUGAGGGAAGACUGCCCUAUGGGUUGUAAACCUCUUUUAUGCGGGGAUAAAGGUGUCCACGUGUGGAUGUUUGCAGGUACCGCAUGAAUAAGGACCGGCUAAUUCCGUGCCAGCAGCCGCGGUAAUACGGAAGGUCCGGGCGUUAUCCGGAUUUAUUGGGUUUAAAGGGAGCGUAGGCCGGUCUUUAAGCGUGCCGUGAAAUUUUGUGGCUCAACCAUGAGAGUGCGGCGCGAACUGGAGACCUUGAGUGCGCGGAAGGCAGGCGGAAUUCGUGGUGUAGCGGUGAAAUGCUUAGAUAUCACGAAGAACCCCGAUUGCGAAGGCAGCCUGCCGCAGCGUUACUGACGCUGAAGCUCGAAAGCGCGGGUAUCGAACAGGAUUAGGUACCCUGGUAGUCCGCGCGGUAAACGAUGGAUGCCCGCUGUCGGCGAUAUACAGUCG